UACAACUCACCAGACGACGCCUACAACUCACCAGACGACGCAUACAACUCACCAGACGACGCCUACAACUCAACAGACGACACCUACAACUCACCAGACGACGCCUACAACUCACCAGACGACGCCUACAACUCACCAGACGACGCUUACAACUGAAGAGACGACGACGGCAACUGAAUUGACGAUGGCAAUACUUCUACCAACCACGUCUACAACUCAUUAAAUAACGCCAACAGAUGCCAGGUAUUUAGCUACUACUACCAUAACGAGGUCGACAAUAAGCGCGACGAGCGUUUCAGGUUGCAUCGACCUCAAUGUUCCCUAACACUGGGAUACUAUCGGACCCAAUAUUCAACAUAUUACAAUUCUGCCCAGUCCCGAUCACGCGCUGGUCUACUGUCAACCUGGCUUAAGAGCGUUUUCGGCUAACAAACACGCUUAUGCAGACCACUUUCAAAUCACUUGCAGACAUGGCGCUUGGAAGUCCCACUCCGUUUGUCAGAAUAUAGGUAAUGAUAAUUACGUGUUAACCUAAAUAUGACGGAUAGAAACUGUAGAAACUAUUCAAUGUGUAAAACCUAAAAUCAAGUGAAUUGCAGUGCGUUGCAGAGCAGUGCAUAUUAGUUCUAUUUUUAAUGUGUAUAUGUGUAAAAUAUCGAUCGAAGUAAACCAUAAGACUUCGAG